GCGCUCACCAUCGCUCCAUCUGUCAGGGCGUACCCUUCUAUAGAAGUACAUUGCCUUGCAGAGAAUUAAAAAGAAAAUUUUAUAUUUGAGUGCUAUUUCUUUUGUGGCACCGAAACUUUAUAACAAUUUCAGGGCUCACCCUUGAUUACAUUUCCCCCCAGGGGCGGUCUCUGGUUCUCUCUCCUGAGGAGGCGCACCCCGCCCCCUUGUGGUGGCCUCAGGGGUGAGAAAUCAGGACCCACCCAGUGCGAGGAAUAACCGGAGCUCUCUGCAACGCUGAAAGAAACUGGCCAGCAACCUAGCUUAAAGGAUCCUCACAUCUGCGGCGACGACUCUGUGCACAGACCAAGGAAGGAGAAGCCGCCGGAGCCAGUAAAGUACUCCCUUGGUGGUCAAAUUCCGGAGGGCUAAAUGUGUGUGUGCAUGAAUGAUCACAAACAACCCUACCUGCGGUGCUGUUCAUGUGGAUGGUGACAAGACCUACUGCUGGGCAGAGUGCUGCCUUUGGACUUUCCAGUGCCUCAGCAUCAGCCUGGGGAUCAUGUUCUCAUCAAAGAAGGGAAAGAAGGGAAACUCGAGCCAGCCCGGGAAGGACCCUACCUCGUGCUGCUAACCACUGAGACUGCUGUUCGUAAGGUUGGAAAGGGAUGGACACAUCACACAUGAGUCAAGCAAGCACCAUUAUCCUCAGAAUCAUGGGCCAUUGUUCCUGGAUCAAGCCCUACCAAAUUAAAGCUAAGGAAAGCUUAGUCUAUCUAUCUUUUCCUUUCCCUUCCUUACCCAGUGCUUAUAUCCAUUACUAUCCCUACCACUAGCAACUCUAACCCCACUUUAGAACGCUUCUGUGGUUUAGGAGCAGAGGUCACUGGAAAGGAUCCUAUGGGCUUCUUUAAGGUGGGCUUUGUUCUCCCUCCUCCACCUCCUAUGGCUGCCCCUUUCCCAAACCUACAAAAUCAAACUAUGACUCACCUCAUGCCAAAUGACAAAAGCAAGGUCCCGGUAGUAGAAAUAUGAGACCUAAGGCAAACCAUAGCCAUUAAAACAGGGUAUAAAAAUGUAAAUGCCUGGUUAAAAUUGAUUAAAUAUUCUGUCCACAGGUUAAACAAAGGCAAUUUUUAUGCUUGUGCACAUGACAGGCCAGAAGCCCAGACUGUCCCCUUUCCACUAGGGUGGUCCUCUAGUUGACUGGGCAUGGCCUGCAUGGCAGAUCUUCCCCAGGAUUAUUCAGCCUGGGGUAACAAGUCGUGCCAAGCUCUCUCUCUGCUAUAUCCCAAAGUUCAGCACCCUGCGGGUCAGCCCCCAAGGGCCAUCCAGCUUCCAUCUCCCAACACUAAGUUCACUUCCUGUCUCUCAGGACCGGGAGGAAACUUAGCGUUCCUUGGAGACCUGAAGGGAUGCAGUGAGAUUAAGAAAUUUCAAGAGCUUACCAAUUAGCCCUUAUGCAUCCCUGAGCAGAUGUGUAGUGGUAUUAUGAUGGACCUUUACUGGACACUCUGCCGAGUAACUGAAGUGGCACUUGCUUUAGUCCAGUUGGCUAUCCCUUUCACCCUGGCAUUUCAUCAACCAGAGAAAGGAAAAAUAAGAUAUCAUAAAGCAAAAGAAGCCCCUUAUGGGUCUUUUGACUCUCACAUCUAUUUAGACAUAAUUACAGUCCCACAGGGAAUACCAGAUCAAUUUAAAGCCUGAAAUCAAAUAGCUGCAGGAUUUGAGUCAAUAUUUUGGUGGGUGACAAUAAAAUGUAAAUUGGAUAAACUACAUCUAUUACAACCAACAGCCAUCCAUUAACUACACUAGAGAUGCUGUUAAAGGAAUAGCUGAGCAAUUAGGGGCUACUAGCCAGAUGGCUUGGGAAAAAUAGGAUAGCCUUAGACAUGAUAUUAGCAGAAAAAGGAAGAAUUUGCAUCAUAAUUAAAAAUCAAUGUUGUACCUUCAUCCCAAACAACACCGCCCCUAAUGGAAGUAUAACAAAGGCAUUGCAAGGUGUGACUGCUCUAUCCCAUGAGUUAGCCAAUAACUCGGGGUAAAUGACCCCUUUACAGGAUGGCUAGAAAGGUGGCUCAGUAAAUGGAAAAGAAUAAUAGCCCCAAUUCUUACUUCCAUCACAGCCAUCAUAGGUGUGCUUAUUCUUGUCGGGUGUUGUGUCACACUAAGGAAGGAGACCGCUACAACUCCUGCUGCCCUCCUCCCACCACCUUGCCUAGUUCACAAGACAGGACGAAAGAGAGAAAGCAAAAAGCUGGAAAGAAGCAAAAGUAAGAUAAAUAGCCAGACAACCUUGGCACCACCACCUGGCCCUAGGAGUUAAAAAAGUAAUAAUAAUAACAUCAACCCCAGACCUAAACUACUUGUGUUAUCUGUAAAUUCCAGACAUUGUAUGAAAAAGCAUUGCAAAACUUUCUGUUCUGUUAGCUGAUGCAUGUAGCCCCCAGUCACGUUCCCCACGCUUGCUCGAUUUAUCACAACCUUUUCAUGUGGACCCCUUAGAGUUGGAAGCCUUUAAAAAGGCCAAGAAUUUAGUUUUCAGGGAGCUCAGCUCUCAAGAUGCAAGUCUGCCGAUGCUCUCAGCCAAGUAAACCUCUUCCUUCUUUAAUCCAGUGUCUGAGGAGUUUUGUCUGCGUUGGUGCAGAGGCUUAUAAAAACGGCACUUCCUAAAACCUCCCUUAACUAUCCUCCACCUUAUCCAGAGAAGCUUCUUCUUUUGGAAAAUCAAGCAGAACAACUAAGCCAAGACAUGUUAAAGAAGUUUGAAGGGAAAGAGCUGUAAGGAAAUGCAAGAGGAGAGAUUGUUAGAUAUGAGUUCUAAAUUUCUCUUCAAAGAAUCAAUAUGUCAGUAUGUUCCAUUCUUUGCCUUUUACUUGUAAACUUAACUUCCUCGUAAAGCAACCAUUUUCGAUUACCUGCUCCACCCUGACUCAUUCCGAUUACCUGCUCUGCCCUGAAUUCUGAUUUCCUGCUCUGCCAUAACAAUUUUUCCCGCCAAAUCACUCACCCUGUCACUCUCUUUAAAUUAACCAAUUGGCAUUAGUUUAGCCUGUGCGGUCUAACCCUAGCCAAUAGGGGAACAACACAGCAGCAGAGGCCACGUGCAUCAGGGAUAAGAACCCCUUCUCCCUUGUCCAAGUGUGCGCUCGCCAUUGCUCCAUCUAUAAGGGCGCACCCUUCUAUAAAAGUACAUUGCCUUGCUGAGAAUUAAAAAGAAAAUUUUAUAUUCGAGUGCUAUGUCUUUUGCGGCACCGAAACUUUAUUUAUAACAAAAUCUACAAGGGCUUAAAGAUAAAGUCAAAAUUACUGACAAGCUCAGGGAAAAUGCAGACUUCAGCCCCAGGUGGCUACAAUCCC
rnacentral:lncRNA from 1 species